AAGGCUUGACAUGUUCCCGACCGGGCCAGAGAUGGUCUUUCCCCUUUGGGGCGGGUUCACAGGUGGUGCAUGGUUGUCGUCAGCUCGUGUCGUGAGAUGUUGGGUUAAGUCCCGCAACGAGCGCAACCCUCGUUCCAUGUUGCCAGCGGGUUAUGCCGGGGACUCAUGGAAGACUGCCGGGGUCAACUCGGAGGAAGAGUGGGGACGACGUCAAAUCA
rnacentral:rRNA from 1 species